UACGUAGGGUGCGAGCGUUGUCCGGAAUUAUUGGGCGUAAAGGGCUCGUAGGCGGUUUGUCGCGUCGGGAGUGAAAACACUGGGCUUAACUCAGUGCUUGCUUCCGAUACGGGCAGACUAGAGGUAUUCAGGGGAGAACGGAAUUCCUGGUGGAGCGGUGAAAUGCGCAGAGAUCAGGAGGAACACCCGUAGCGAAGGCGGCACUCUGGGCCGAUACUGACGCUGAGGAGCGAAAGCGUGGGGAGCGAACAGG
rnacentral:rRNA from 1 species